CACGUAAGUAAUCUACCUCUGGGUGGGGAAUAACAGUCGGAAACGACUGCUAAUACCGCAUAAUGCAGCGGCUCCUUAUGGAGACAGUUGUUAAAGUAUUUAUAUGCCUAGAGAGGAGCUUGCGGCAGAUUAGCUAGUUGGUAAGGUAAUGGCUUACCAAGGCAACGAUCUGUAGCCGACCUGAGAGGGUGGUCGGUCACACUGACACUGAAUAACGGGUCAG
rnacentral:rRNA from 1 species